CCGGAGGUCCAUUAGCCAACAGAAGUCUGGAGUUUCCAUUACAAUUGAUGACCCAGUCCGAACUGCCCAGGUGCCCUCCCCACCCAGGGGCAAGAUCAGUAACAUUGUCCACAUCUCCAACUUGGUUCGUCCCUUCACUCUAGGCCAGCUAAAGGAGUUAUUAGGGCGUACAGGGACUUUGGUGGAGGAGGCCUUCUGGAUUGACAAGAUCAAAUCUCAUUGCUUUGUGACGGUGAGGCAAAGGGGCUGACUCCAGUUUCAGGCUCACUGUUCUGUGGGCAGUGUGGGGGACAGAUUGGAGGGCCUUGCAGCCGCCGAGAGGACUAAAGGCGCACCAUGCCUCUCUGCCUCUUCUCACCAGUACUCAACAGUAGAGGAAGCCGUGGCCACCCGGACAGCUCUGCACGGGGUCAAGUGGCCCCAAUCCAACCCCAAAUUCCUCUGUGCUGACUAUGCUGAGCAAGAUGAGGUGAGACGCCUCAGAAGGGGGGGGGGGUGGAU
rnacentral:lncRNA from 1 species